GACGAACGCUGGCGGCGUGCUUAACACAUGCAAGUCGAACGGAAAGGCCCUGCUUUUGUGGGGUGCUCGAGUGGCGAACGGGUGAGUAACACGUGAGUAACCUGCCCUUGACUUUGGGAUAACUUCAGGAAACUGGGGCUAAUAACGGAUAGGAGCUCCUGCUGCAUGGUGGGGGUGGGAAAGUUUCGGCGGUUGGGGAUGGACUCGCGGCUUAUCAGCUUGUUGGUGGGGUAGUGGCUGACCAAGGCUUUGACGGGUAGCCGGCCUGAGAGGGUGACCGGCCCCAUUGGGACUGAGAUACGGCCCAGCCUCCUACGGGAGGCAGCAGUGGGGAAUAUUGCACUAUGGGCGGAAGCCUGAUGCAGCCACGCCGCGUGCGGGAUGACGGCCUUCGGGUUGUAAACCGCUUUCGCCUGUGACGAAGCGUGAGUGACGGUAAUGGGUAAAGAAGCACCGGCUAACUACGUG
rnacentral:rRNA from 1 species